CCUACGGGAGGCAGCAGUGGGGAAUAUUGCGCAAUGGGCGAAAGCCUGACGCAGCGACGCCGCGUGAGGGAUGAAGGUCUUCGGAUCGUAAACCUCUGUCAGCAGGGAAGAACGGUCACUGUGCUAAUCAGCAGUGAAUUGACGGUACCUGCAACGGAAGCACCGGCUAACUCCGUGCCAGCAGCCGCGGUAAUACGGAGGGUGCGAGCGUUAAUCGGAAUUACUGGGCGUAAAGCGCUCGUAGGCGGUAUGUCAAGUCAAGGGUGAAAUCCCCGCGCUCAACGUGGGAACUGCCUUUGAAACUGGCAAACUGGAGUGUGUGAGAGGAUAGUGGAAUGCCAGGUGUAGGAGUGAAAUGCGUAGAUAUCUGGAGGAACAUCAGUGGCGAAGGCGACUAUCUGGCACAUAACUGACGCUGAGGAGCGAAAGCGUGGGUAGCAAACAGGAUUAGAUACCCGGGUAGUC
rnacentral:rRNA from 1 species